GUCCACGCCCUAAACGAUGUCUACUAGUUGUCGGGUCUUAACUGACUUGGUAACGCAGCUAACGCGUGAAGUAGACCGCCUGGGGAGUACGGUCGCAAGAUUAAACUCAAAGGAAUUGACGGGACCCGCACAAGCGGUGGAUGAUGUGGAUUAAUUCGAUGCAACGCGAAAACCUUACCUACCCUUGACAUGUACGGAAUUCUGCUGAGAGGUAGAAGUGCUCGAAAGAGAACCGUAACACAGGUGCUGCAUGGCUGUCGU
rnacentral:rRNA from 1 species